UACGGGGGGGGGCUAGCGUUGUUCGGAAUUACUGGGCGUAAAGCGCGCGUAGGCGGACCUGCAAGUCGGGGGGUGAAAGCCCGAGGCUCAACCUCGGAACUGCCUUCGAUACUGCGGGUCUCGAGUCCGGGAGAGGUGAGUGGAAUUCCUAGUGUAGAGGUGAAAUUCGUAGAUAUUAGGAAGAACACCAGUGGCGAAGGCGGCUCACUGGCCCGGUACUGACGCUUGAGGCGCGAAAAGCGUGGGGGAGCAAAACAGGG
rnacentral:rRNA from 1 species